GCCUCGGUGGUGUAGUGGUAGAGCACGCGUACCCGGAUAGGAUGAAAGAUGAUAGGCGGGUUCGAUUCCCACCUGAGGCC